GACGUAGGUGGCGAACGUUAUCCGGAUUUAUUGGGCGUAAAGGGCGCGCAGGCGGCUACGCACGUCCGUUGUGAAAUCGCUCGGCUCAACUGGGCGGGGUCAGCGGAUACGGCGUAGCUGGAGCAAGCUAGGGGGCAAUGGAAUUCCCGGUGUAGUGGUGGAAUGCGUAGAUAUCGGGAGGAACACCAGUGGCGAAGGCGGUUGCCUGGAGCUUUGCUGACGCUGAGGAGCGAAAGCAUGGGGAGCGAACAGG
rnacentral:rRNA from 1 species